rnacentral:lncRNA from 1 species
GACUUAUUCCUGCUUCUCCAUCUAAGUGAGCAAACUGAUCACAGGGGGUGAACAGGCCCUUGCCGGAGAAAAAGUGAAGAACACAGACUUUCAACUCGACAUAGCAGCUGUGCUAGACAACAACAGGAAGCCAGAAGAAGCUCACGAUGUGGGUGUGAUAACUUGUUACUCAAAUAAACUUUCA